UUAAGCUGUAGGGUUGUAGGAGGCUAAACCCUUAGAUCGCAUAAAGCUAGUCCAAUGCAUUCUGGCCUAUUUAAGAACGUACCACAGUGCUAAGACAUUAGUGUAACACGGCUGUUUCACAGUUUGGGUCUAGUAGGGAUGUAUCGAUGCGUCGUGAGUCAGUUAAAAAUCGUCAAAAUAUUCGAGACAAUUACCAGCGGUUUAAGGCGUAAAGGAGUAGGCUGCGUUAUCUCAAAAAGUCACUGGUCAUACCAUGAGAGUACACACUCCAGUACAAUAGGUGGCAGUAUGCACCUAAAAACGUUGAUUGUGAUGCGUUAUUAAACCAAGACGUCAGGUCCCUACGUAGCCUAAGUAACAGUCAGGUGGUUGAACCGAACGCGGAAAGAUCUUUAAAGGUCACCAACAGUGUUUUACAGUGUUACUGUUUUUUUUUUUAGAUUUUUAUGAUGUUGACAGUUAGUAAUGUAAAUAAGACCAGUUUUCCUUUUAAGAGGAGGAAACGCAUGAUGUUUUUGUGAAAAUUUUGUGAAAAUUUGAAUUUUUUUGCAUCCUGUUGUUUAUGUUAUUUAAGAGAACACUUUCAGUUCAUGAAGCACACAAGGCCAUUUCUGGUAUUACCAACAUUGAUAAUGGUAUUAUUAUCAAUGUUGUUGUUGCAUAGUUUCUACAGAUAAGAGAUCAGUGUAUUUGGUCAUAAUUUGUUUUUAAAA